UUAACGGUGGACGGUACAGGAUACACAUCUACCCUCUGUGAGGUGUGAGCGUGGACUCUCUAACUAAACACCAAAGUCCGCGCUUCCUAGAAGCUGCUUUCGGAUCAAGCAAUUUCGGCACCUCCGGUGCUUUUCAAUUCCAAUCAGAUUUGGGUCUCUCCCUUCCACUCUCUCUCCAUUCGAACCAGAACACUAGCGGUUUACGCGCGGAAUCUUUUAGCGGUGGGAAAUCGCCAGUUGCAGAGCUCGACUAAAGAGAAAGAAAUCCAUGGCUGCUUCACCUGCAAACAAAGGCAAUGGAUGUUAAAACCUUAAUCUCCGCCUAUUCGAGUGAAGCCUGGACAAGACUUCUCAGUUUCCUUCCUUCUUUCAAUUCGAAUUCACUCGCAAAUGUUUUAAAUUUCUACACACGAACAUCCCGUUCAAGAUAUCGGAGAUGGAGAUCGGGCUUUCCUCUUCCAUUGCCAUCAAAGUGACUAAAAUUGUCUCUGGAUGAAAUUGCAGUAGUGGGUUCAACAUUGGAGGCGGCUGGCGACUACGAAAACAGCAAAGAACGAUCAGUUAUGGUUAGUAGUCAAGGAAAAAUGGAGGAAGCUCCCAAGGUACGUGGACUCCUGAACUACACAAAGUUUGGGUCGAUUUGUCUUUACAACAAGUCAUGGCCGG